UACGUAGGGUGCAAGCGUUAUCCGGAAUUAUUGGGCGUAAAGAGCUCGUAGGCGGUGUGUCACGUCGGCCGUGAAAACCUGCAGCUUAACUGUGGGCGUGCGGUCGAUACGGGCAUCACUGGAGUUCGGCAGGGGAGACUGGAAUUCCUGGUGUAGCGGUGAAAUGCGCAGAUAUCAGGAGGAACACCGGUGGCGAAGGCGGAUCUCUGGGCCUGUCCUGACGCUGAGGCGCGAAAGCUAGGGGAGCGAACAGG
rnacentral:rRNA from 1 species